rnacentral:rRNA from 1 species
UCAAAUCAUCAUGCCCCUUAUGACCUGGGCUACACACGUGCUACAAUGGCAUCGACAGAGCGAACCAAGACCGCAAGGUGGAGGAAAUCGCGCAAAUGAUGCCCCAGUUCAGAUCGGAGGCUGCAACUCGCCUCCGUGAAGUUGGAAUCGCUAGUAAUCGCGGAUCAGCUACGCCGCGGUGAAUGUCGUUCCUGAGCCUU